GAAAUCUGAACAAGCUUACGUUUCUAAAUACAUUGGUGAGUAGACGCAUGCCACAUAUUUUGAGUUAAGUUUUUCAUGGCAGCGCAGCUGAACUUAUCCUAUAAAAGGUGUUUAUUCAGUAAGUAUGAAAGGAGGAGCAGCUGUGAGGAUCGGCUGUGUGCAGUUCAGAGUGAGGGGAUCGGAGGAAACCGGCCUGGGGUAACCCCGCCAGGAAAAGCACCGCAUACCCUGCCUUCUUGGGUUUAACUUUACUUUAAAAAUGAAAAUACCAAAGAUACUGUUCUAAGAUCCGCUGACUUAUAAAAAAAAGAAAAGAGAAAUAAUCAUGUCACCUGCAGCCCCUCCUGUGAGGGGGUGCUUUUCCUGGCGGGGGUGCUUUUUUCCUGAAUUCGGCACAACACCGAUCAUAAGAACGCUGUGUGGAGCAGCUGUGUUCCGAUCAUCGCUUAAUAAUAUAAUUUACUACAAAUAAUUUCCCCAUUUGUGAGUUUUGAUCUUUUUGUUUAGUUUUUAUUAGUUGACGAAAAAUGUUAUAGUCAUAGUUUUCGUUUUCAAUUAUUCAUUUUUAGUUACAUUUCGUCUUGUUUCGUCAUGAAAAAUUUGUCGUCAAUUAAGAUUUUUCAUCAUAGUUUUCGUUAACGAAAUUAACACUGGUGAUGUUCUCCUAACCCUGUUGUCUUUAUCUGGACUCUCUCCUGCUCUCUGAAAGCUCUGAAGCUGACUGGACCUCCUGAAAACAAGACUCUAAAGAAAGGAGACUCUGUAAACCUGACCUGUGCUGUGAACUGCUCUCUCAGCCCUCUACAGUUCGUGUGGUUUAAGAACAACCAGCGUUUACCAUCAUCAGACCCCGUUCUCCACCUUCCUGCUCUAACUGUGGAGGAUUCUGGGAGUUAUUCUUGUGCUCUGAAGACAGAUGAAGCAGCGAGAUCUGAAAUAGUCAGAAUACAUUUUGAAGGUGUCCAUCCAUCAGGCUUGAUCAUCGGUUUGGUCAUUGUUGUUGGGAUUGUGGUCAUAUUCGCUUUGAUAUUCGUAGCUGUAGUUUACAACAGACGGAAGAAGGAAAAAGCUGGAGAAGAAACUGAUGAUGGUAAAGGCAGGAAAACUCAGGU